GCUACUACCGAUUGAAUGGUUUAGUGAGGACUCCUGAUUGGCGCCGCCGCCCCGGCAACGGAGCAGCGGACUGCCGAAAAGUUGUUCAAACUUGAUCAUUUAGAGAAGUAAAAGUCGUAACAAGGUUUCCGUAGGUGAACCUGCAGAAGGAUCAGCUCCUACCGAUUGAGUGAUCCGGUGAAUUAUUCGGACUGACGCAGUGCUCAGCUUCUGGACGUUGCGUUGGAAAGUUUCAUGAACCUUAUCACUUAGAGGAAGAGAAGUCGUAACAAGGUUUCCGUAGGUGAACCUGCAGAAGGAU
rnacentral:misc_RNA from 1 species